rnacentral:rRNA from 1 species
AGUUCACCCCAGUCACGCCUCUCUGUUCAGAUUUAGAGCUCGCUCGAGUCGUGGUCGUCAUGGUUGUCGUCGUCACCGCGGCCACCGUCCACCCCAGCGCCUGAGAAGACGUCGAGGAGCUCCGCCAUCGCCGUCUCCUUCGCCCUAGCCGAAGGGCUCGAGCUAGGAAGCCCAGUACGCUCGGCAUCGGGCACAUCUUCAUCGAUACUUCGCCGGCGUCCGACGACGUUUGCCACGGCUCCGGUCCACCCCGGCCUUCGUCGACCGCGCCCACGAGCUCUAUACCCCGAGACCGCUGUUGAUGCCCCUGUGAUCGGCUACGUCAUCGACGACACUUCUACCCCGUUUCAACGAAGCUUCCAGGCUUGUAGGCAUUUUGUUGUGGCAUAUAUGCUUACUCAAACCAGUUGGAUAUGGAAUUGGCCCAGCUGCGCAAGGAGAACCAGAUGCUCAUCCAGCGGCACAGGGAUCUCAUAAACGUAAGUAUGCACAUUUAAUUGACUGAUGAGUUCCUCAGCCUUACUCUAUGCCAAUAUUUAACUUAGGAAAUGUGUUAAAUUUCUACUCAAAUGAAUAGAAAUUUUGGAUGGUUAUGUCUAACCAGCUGGUAUGACUAGGAAAAUAACUAAUAUUAUUUGGUUUGUGUAGCUGCACCUCUAAAUUACAAACCUCUUUUUUG